AAACCACCAAAAAAUUCAUUUUAGAAACGUUUUUCCCCCCCACAAAAGAACAAAAUCCAACUUUCAGCAUGCUGAGAACUUCAAAUCCUGACUGACCCGAAGCCUCCAAACCCACAAACCAAGACUCUGUAAAAUUGGAUGUGCUGUUUGAUAAAUAAAAUAUUCCAAAGAUGAAUUCAGCUCCAGCGGGAAAGGUGAGGGAGCAUCCAGGGGAUUUUCCUGAUGGAGCAGAUCCCACCCCCACCAAAGCAGCCCUGUUUGGGAUAAUUGAUAUUUUAUUCCCUGGAUUAAUUGAUUUAUUUCCUCACUGCCAGCUCACACUGAGUCAUCCACCAUCGUUAUAAAAUUAAUUAAUCAUUAAAUCACCUACGUUAAUUUGCUGGCAAAGGGUUUGUGCAGUCCAAGCUGUUUUAGACACGGAAAAUUCAUGGAUUCAUGGCAGGGAAUGUUUGGAAAUAAAUGAAGAGAUGGGAAAAGCAUGACCAAAAUCAGAUUUCAAGGGAACGGAGUCGAAGUGAGGAAGAAAAUUCAAGGUAAGCCAAACUCAUGCUCUUUAAUUUGAAUAAAACUGAGCUGAUUCCAGGA